UACGUAGGUGGCAAGCGUUGUCCGGAUUUACUGGGCGUAAAGAGCGCGCAGGCGGUCAGAUAAGUCGAAUGUGAAAGCCCCCGGCUCAACUGGGGAGGGUCAUUCGAUACUGUUCGACUCGAAGGCAGGAGAGGGAAGCGGAAUUCCCGGUGUAGUGGUGAAAUGCGUAGAUAUCGGGAGGAACACCAGUGGCGAAGGCGGCUUCCUGGCCUGUUCUUGACGCUGAGGCGCGAAAGCGUGGGGAGCGAACGGG
rnacentral:rRNA from 1 species